UACGUAGGGUGCGAGCGUUGUCCGGAAUUACUGGGCGUAAAGAGCUCGUAGGUGGUUUGUCGCGUUGUUCGUGAAAACUCACAGCUCAACUGUGGGCGUGCGGGCGAUACGGGCAGACUGGAGUACUGCAGGGGAGACUGGAAUGCCUGGUGUAGCGGUGGAAUGCGCAGAUAUCAGGAGGAACACCGGUGGCGAAGGCGGGUCUCUGGGCAGUAACUGACGCUGAGGAGCGAAAGCGUGGGGAGCGAACAGG
rnacentral:rRNA from 1 species